UACGUAGGGUGCAAGCGUUGUCCGGAAUUAUUGGGCGUAAAGAGCUCGUAGGCGGUCUGUUGCGUCCGCUGUGAAAACUCGGGGCUUAACCCCGAGCCUGCAGUGGAUACGGGCAGACUAGAGGUAGGUAGGGGAGAAUGGAAUUCCCGGUGUAGCGGUGAAAUGCGCAGAUAUCGGGAGGAACACCGGUGGCGAAGGCGGUUCUCUGGGCCGUGACUGACGCUGAGACGCGAAAGCGUGGGGAGCAAACAGG
rnacentral:rRNA from 1 species